rnacentral:rRNA from 1 species
AAUUCCAAGCUUGAGUUUGAUCCUGGCUCAGGAUGAACGCUAGCGGCAGGCUUAAUACAUGCAAGUCGAACGGGAAUUGGGUAGCAAUACCUGAUGAUAGUGGCGCACGGGUGCGUAACGCGUAUGCAACCUACCUUUAACAGGGGGAUAGCCCGGAGAAAUUCGGAUUAAUACCCCAUAGUAUUAUGGAGAGGCAUCUUUUCAUGAUUAAAGUUCCGGCGGUUAAAGAUGGGCAUGCGUGCCAUUAGCUAGUUGGUGAGGUAACGGCUCACCAAGGCGACGAUGGUUAGGGGUCCUGAGAGGGUUAUCCCCCACACUGGUACUGAGACACGGACCAGACUCCUACGGGAGGCAGCAGUAAGGAAUAUUGGUCAAUGGGCGGAAGCCUGAACCAGCCAUGCCGCGUGCAGGAAGACGGCCUUAUGGGUUGUAAACUGCUUUUGUCAGGGAAUAAACCCUCGUUUGCGAACGAGGCUGAAGGUACCUGAAGAAUAAGCAUCGGCUAACUCCGUGCCAGCAGCCGCGGUAAUACGGAGGAUGCGAGCGUUAUCCGGAUUCAUUGGGUUUAAAGGGUGCGCAGGCGGGCGUAUAAGUCAGGGGUGAAAUGCCACGGCUCAACCGUGGAACUGCCUUUGAUACUGUAUGUCUUGAGUUUAGUUGAAGUGGGCGGAAUGUAGCAUGUAGCGGUGAAAUGCAUAGAGAUGCUACAGAACACCGAUAGCGGAGGCAGCUCACUAAGUUAAG